rnacentral:tRNA from 1 species
AAAUUUAAAAUUAAAUUUUAAAAAAAAAUUAAAAUUUAAUUUUUAAAAAUAUUUAUUUAGUAU